rnacentral:rRNA from 1 species
UACGUAGGGUGCGAGCGUUGUCCGGAAUUACUGGGCGUAAAGAGCUCGUAGGCGGUUUGUCGCGUUGUUCGUGAAAACCGGGGGCUUAACCCUCGGCGUGCGGGCGAUACGGGCAGACUUGAGUACUGCAGGGGAGACUGGAAUUCCUGGUGUAGCGGUGGAAUGCGCAGAUAUCAGGAGGAACACCGGUGGCGAAGGCGGGUCGCUGGGCAGUAACUGACGCUGAGGAGCGAAAGCGUGGGGAGCGAACAGG